AAAAAAUAUGAAUCUUUCUACCAUACUAUCUAUAUCUAUUAUUGUAAUGUAGAAAGAUACAAGCUUAAUAUAGAUGAAUCCACAAUAUGUAUCUUCAUACAUGUCGAUAUCAAUUAAAUAUAUGUACUGUACAUAGUAUCUCAAUUUUAUUUCUUCGCUUGAUCUAUUUUAUUUGUGUUGAUUUCAAUUAAUCUGAAAUAAUUGAAAGGCAAGUCUUACGAUUUUAUAAUUCUUUCAUUUCAUGGAUUUGAUUUUUUUGGUGGAUACCAAGAUUCCUAUUAGAAUAAUCAGAAAUGAAGGAAAAAUGGAAUGGAAUAGGCAUAUAUUAAUUAAAUUAAUAAAAAAAAGAAAACCAAGUAAUCUUUUUUUUGAACAUUCCAAAGAAGUAAUUCGUUGAGCAACUGACAGAUGAUCCAAAGAGUUCUAUGGUAACUUUUCUUAGUAUUUCGUUCCAAAAAAGGGUAUACCCUGCCGAUUUUGAAUUUAACUUCUUUGAUCCAUGAUAUGAAAUGAGUCAAUAAAGCAUUUCAUAAAUGAAAUUCAAAUAAAACAGGGG
rnacentral:lncRNA from 1 species